GUUUGAUAAAAGAAUCACCCGGUAUAUUCAUAUUUAAUUUUCGAAUCCGGCGUUUUGUGUAACAGAAAACUCGAAAGACGGCAAGCUGUAUCAUCUUGCUCAAUAUACACUGAGGAUAAGUUUUAUUGUUCAAAUGGAGUAUGUAUUGAAUGG